rnacentral:rRNA from 1 species
GAUGAACGCUAGCGGCAGGCUUAAUACAUGCAAGUCGAGGGGCAGCAUGGUGUAGCAAUACACUGAUGGCGACCGGCAAACGGGUGCGGAACACGUACACAACCUUCCUUUAAGCGGGGAAUAGCCCAGAGAAAUUUGGAUUAAUACCCCAUAGUAUAUUGGUUAGGCAUCUAACUAUUAUUAAAGAUUUAUCACUUGAAGAUGGGUGUGCGGCUGAUUAGGUAGUUGGCGGGGUAACGGCCCACCAAGCCUGCGAUCAGUAACUGGUGUGAGAGCACAACCAGUCACACGGGCACGGAGACACGGGCCCGACUCCUACGGGAGGCAGCAGUAAGGAAUAUUGGUCAAUGGACGAAAGUCUGAACCAGCCAUGCCGCGUGGAGGAUGAAGGUCCUCUGGAUUGUAAACUUCUUUUAUAUGGGACGAAAAAAGGCUUUUCUAAGUCGUCUGACGGUACCAUAUGAAUAAGCACCGGCUAACUCCGUGCCAGCAGCCGCGGUAACAC